GAUUUCAUAGCAAAGUCACAUACAAGCUAAUACUGCUGAAUUUAUUUGCAAUGAAAGUAACAAAUUCAUUGUGUGAAAUUAUGAAAUUGUGUUAUCUUCCAACAAAAAUAUCUAAAUCAAGUACGAUUUCAUGAUUUUUAGAGUAAAAAUGUUUUUGUUUUUGGAUUGAACUGAUAGGAAGAAACAAUCCUCCUCAUUUCUUCAAAACCAUAAAUUUUUGGGUAAGCCUAGAUAAUUUUUCUGAUUAUUCAUACUAUCUACAAACCUUUCAUUUGAUUUUAGAAAUAUUUUACACAUCUUGAAUUCAUUCUUGGAAAUGAACUUGACUGGCCUGAAACAUCAUUUGCAACAGGUUAUAAGAAUCUCUCUUGGCCUACACUUCAAGGAUAUACAGAUUCUUUGUAUUUUAGAUUAAGGGAACACAAUUUAUGUAAUCAUAGAGAUUAUCAAAAUUUGGCUGUUAAUGGAGCAGACAGUGAAGAGACAAUUAAAUAUAUUAAAGA